rnacentral:rRNA from 1 species
UACACGGUGGAUGCCCUGGCAGUCAGAGGCGAUGAAGGACGUGCUAAUCUGCGAUAAGCGUCGGUAAGGUGAUAUGAACCGUUAUAACCGGCGAUUUCCGAAUGGGGAAACCCAGUGUGAUUCGUCACACUAUCAUUAACUGAAUCCAUAGGUUAAUGAGGCGAACCGGGGGAACUGAAACAUCUAAGUACCCCGAGGAAAAGAAAUCAACCGAGAUUCCCCCAGUAGCGGCGAGCGAACGGGGAGGAGCCCAGAGCCUGAAUCAGUGUGUGUGUUAGUGGAAGCGUCUGGAAAGGCGCGCGAUACAGGGUGACAGCCCCGUACACAAAAAUGCACAUGCUGUGAGCUCGAUGAGUAGGGCGGGACACGUGGUAUCCUGUCUGAAUAUGGGGGGACCAUCCUCCAAGGCUAAAUACUCCUGACUGACCGAUAGUGAACCAGUACCGUGAGGGAAAGGCGAAAAGAACCCCGGCGAGGGGAGUGAAAAAGAACCUGAAACCGUGUACGUACAAGCAGUGGGAGCACAGAGCAAUCUGUGUGACUGCGUACCUUUUGUAUAAUGGGUCAGCGACUUAUAUUCUGUAGCAAGGUUAACCGAAUAGGGGAGCCGAAGGGAAACCGAGUCUUAACUGGGCGUUAAGUUGCAGGGUAUAGACCCGAAACCCGGUGAUCUAGCCAUGGGCAGGUUGAAGGUUGGGUAACACUAACUGGAGGACCGAACCGACUAAUGUUGAAAAAUUAGCGGAUGACUUGUGGCUGGGGGUGAAAGGCCAAUCAAACCGGGAGAUAGCUGGUUCUCCCCGAAAGCUAUUUAGGUAGCGCCUCGUGAAUUCAUCUCCGGGGGUAGAGCACUGUUUCGGCAAGGGGGUCAUCCCGACUUACCAACCCGAUGCAAACUGCGAAUACCGGAGAAUGUUAUCACGGGAGACACACGGCGGGUGCUAACGUCCGUCGUGAAGAGGGAAACAACCCAGACCGCCAGCUAAGGUCCCAAAGUCAUGGUUAAGUGGGAAACGAUGUGGGAAGGCCCAGACAGCCAGGAUGUUGGCUUAGAAGCAGCCAUCAUUUAAAGAAAGCGUAAUAGCUCACUGGUCGAGUCGGCCUGCGCGGAAGAUGUAACGGGGCUAAACCAUGCACCGAAGCUGCGGCAGCGACACUAUGUGUUGUUGGGUAGGGGAGCGUUCUGUAAGCCUGUGAAGGUGUGCUGUGAGGCAUGCUGGAGGUAUCAGAAGUGCGAAUGCUGACAUAAGUAACGAUAAAGCGGGUGAAAAGCCCGCUCGCCGGAAGACCAAGGGUUCCUGUCCAACGUUAAUCGGGGCAGGGUGAGUCGACCCCUAAGGCGAGGCCGAAAGGCGUAGUCGAUGGGAAACAGGUUAAUAUUCCUGUACUUGGUGUUACUGCGAAGGGGGGACGGAGAAGGCUAUGUUGGCCGGGCGACGGUUGUCCCGGUUUAAGCGUGUAGGCUGGUUUUCCAGGCAAAUCCGGAAAAUCAAGGCUGAGGCGUGAUGACGAGGCACUACGGUGCUGAAGCAACAAAUGCCCUGCUUCCAGGAAAAGCCUCUAAGCAUCAGGUAACAUCAAAUCGUACCCCAAACCGACACAGGUGGUCAGGUAGAGAAUACCAAGGCGCUUGAGAGAACUCGGGUGAAGGAACUAGGCAAAAUGGUGCCGUAACUUCGGGAGAAGGCACGCUGAUAUGUAGGUGAAGCGACUUGCUCGUGGAGCUGAAAUCAGUCGAAGAUACCAGCUGGCUGCAACUGUUUAUUAAAAACACAGCACUGUGCAAACACGAAAGUGGACGUAUACGGUGUGACGCCUGCCCGGUGCCGGAAGGUUAAUUGAUGGGGUCAGCGCAAGCGAAGCUCUUGAUCGAAGCCCCGGUAAACGGCGGCCGUAACUAUAACGGUCCUAAGGUAGCGAAAUUCCUUGUCGGGUAAGUUCCGACCUGCACGAAUGGCGUAAUGAUGGCCAGGCUGUCUCCACCCGAGACUCAGUGAAAUUGAACUCGCUGUGAAGAUGCAGUGUACCCGCGGCAAGACGGAAAGACCCCGUGAACCUUUACUAUAGCUUGACACUGAACAUUGAGCCUUGAUGUGUAGGAUAGGUGGGAGGCUUUGAAGUGUGGACGCCAGUCUGCAUGGAGCCGACCUUGAAAUACCACCCUUUAAUGUUUGAUGUUCUAACGUUGACCCGUAAUCCGGGUUGCGGACAGUGUCUGGUGGGUAGUUUGACUGGGGCGGUCUCCUCCUAAAGAGUAACGGAGGAGCACGAAGGUUGGCUAAUCCUGGUCGGACAUCAGGAGGUUAGUGCAAUGGCAUAAGCCAGCUUGACUGCGAGCGUGACGGCGCGAGCAGGUGCGAAAGCAGGUCAUAGUGAUCCGGUGGUUCUGAAUGGAAGGGCCAUCGCUCAACGGAUAAAAGGUACUCCGGGGAUAACAGGCUGAUACCGCCCAAGAGUUCAUAUCGACGGCGGUGUUUGGCACCUCGAUGUCGGCUCAUCACAUCCUGGGGCUGAAGUAGGUCCCAAGGGUAUGGCUGUUCGCCAUUUAAAGUGGUACGCGAGCUGGGUUUAGAACGUCGUGAGACAGUUCGGUCCCUAUCUGCCGUGGGCGCUGGAGAACUGAGGGGGGCUGCUCCUAGUACGAGAGGACCGGAGUGGACGCAUCACUGGUGUUCGGGUUGUCAUGCCAAUGGCACUGCCCGGUAGCUAAAUGCGGAAGAGAUAAGUGCUGAAAGCAUCUAAGCACGAAACUUGCCCCGAGAUGAGUUCUCCCUGACUCCUUGAGAGUCCUGAAGGAACGUUGAAGACGACGACGUUGAUAGGCCGGGUGUGUAAGCGCAGCGAUGCGUUGAGCUAACCGGUACUAAUGAACCGUGAGGCUUAACCUU